UACGGAGGGUGCAAGCGUUAAUCGGAAUCACUGGGCGUAAAGCGCACGUAGGCUGUUUUGCAAGUCAGGCGUGAAAUCCCUUGGCUCAACCGAGGAAUUGCGUUUGAAACUGCAGGACUCGAGUACUGGAGAGGGUGGCGGAAUUCCCGGUGUAGGAGUGAAAUCCGUAGAUAUCGGGAGGAACACCAGUGGCGAAGGCGGCCACCUGGACAGAUACUGACGCUGAGGUGCGAAAGCGUGGGGAGCAAACAGG
rnacentral:rRNA from 1 species